UUUUACAAUUUAAAGACUAAAAAAGCUUUUACCAUUUCCAACGCUCCUCUAAUCACUCCACAUAGGAUAUUAGAAUACCAUAAUUUUUGACGAGCAUCAGCCGGUAACUCAACGAAUUCAGCUAAAGGGUUAUCGUCGAGGGUAAGGACGAAUGUAUUUCCAUCAUCCGAUACACUGGAAAUGAUAGGAGAAAAGUUCAAGAACACUUUAAAUCCAACUUUUGCAACUGUUUCACCUGUCUCACGAAAAUCUGCGCAACGAGGCCAUUCAGUUUUGGCUAAAAAGUCUU